ensembl:snoRNA SNORA70 Small nucleolar RNA SNORA70
CUUCAGUCAGCGAAGUCCACUGGGUUCCUCUGCUGAUGGGUGUCCAGGGUGCAGUGGUGGCAGACAGCAACCUGCUCAGUAGAGGAUGUGGCCUGUUGCUUGCACGGGCUGCCCUGAGGGAACGUGAAGACACUG